ensembl:lncRNA
UUCUCUUUUGCUCCUUUGCAGUUAAACAACAAACAACAAACUGAUCUGGAUGAUUUUACUUUAAAAAUAUUUUAAAGAUUGUUGAAAGAUUUAAAAAAAAUUGACAAUAGUAUGGGUGAUGAAAUUAUGCUAAUUCAAAAGGAUUAGAACCCAGUUUUAUCCCCAAAAUAAACAAAAUAGUGCUGAAAAUGUUGAUAACCUGUGAGUUUUGGAUUGUUGUUCAGAGUUAUUUCUUUAACAAAGAAUAAAAAAAAAAAUCAGUUCGCCAGAUAAAUCUCUAGGUUAAAGAAAACAACUUUAAUUGUUAGUGUAGUUAAUCAAAUGACCAGUAGUCGGUGCUAUCACCGUGAAAUCAAUAUUUAUUGACCGCCUCUUUUAGGCGAAGAAGAUAAUGAUGCUGCUGCUUCUGUUGUUCAGCUAGCGGUAAUAGACACGGCGUAAGUGACAUUAACCUGUCAGUACAAGUCAGCUACAGGAAACAUGGAUUUGGUCAAAAACAGAACUUUGCACCCACAUCUCCGCGAUGACGAGGCUCUGGUGGUGGAAAACGCCAUCCGUCUGGCCAUAGACUCUGUGAUAAACGUUUUGUACGGCGUAAACAGCGCCAAGAAUUACGAGUAUGAGCGGAUGGUGGCCGACAGGGACAAAGAGAUCCAGCGCCUGGAGUGCAGACUGACAGAGAUGGAGCACGAGCUGCAGGUGCUGCGCCGGCAGGGAUGCAUUUGCGGGCUGUUAAAGAACGAGCACAGCCUCGGCAGGUCCCGGAGCUCCGGUGACCGGCAGAAGGGAGUUCAGAGCGGCUUUGAUCCGGGAUGCGUUGACACCGAGCUGACAGCGGAGCAGCAGGACUGUGAGACGAGUUUAUCGUUGGGUCUUUUCGCAAGACCCCCCUCACACGUUUCCUCCCACAGCCAGGAGUCAGCUCUUCCAUCUUCCCCCAGCAGAAUGGUCCUGGAGCACACCUGCACCUCCCGCUCCUCCGAGGUUUCGGGUGUAACGGAGGCCGCCAGAAAUAUGCCGACAUCUCCCAGCAGCCUCGUGGUCAAAGAAGAGCCAUGUGACGUCGACACGGUCUUAAUCAAGUGGGAAAUGAGUGAACAUCAGCAGAGCACGGGCAGUCCGUGUCAGGACAAAGAGAGUCUCAGUGCAAAAAAAAAAAUGGAGACUGGAGAAGGAAGGACGUUCAGGGAGAAACCACAGGCAGACCCGGGUGGAGUCGUAAUGACUGAGGCAGAGCACACGAGGAACAAGAAGAAGAGCGUGCCAAUGUCGGAGCUGCCAGAGGAAGCUCAGAGACUGAAGAGGGCAGCCUGGAGAGCAGCUUCCAGACGAUAUUAUGCUCGAAAGAUAGCUCGCCAGCAGGCAAACCCAUCACAAUCCAGCCCCUUCCCCCACAUCGCAAACUCUCAGAAUUCACAGCCCAGCUCUUUUGUGGAUAAGAGGAGGAGGACACUGAUAUCGGAGCUACCUGAAGAGUCUCAGACGCUGCAGAGAGAAGCUUGGAGAGCCGCAUCCAGGAGGAAUUUUUGGUGGAGUCAUCCAGUGUCAGACUGUUUUUGA